UUUUUGCCUUUCUUGAGGAAUGUUCUUAAGACUCUAGAAAGGUAACUAAGAUAGAAAAAUAGGAAUGGGGAAGAGAUAUUUAGAAAACAAGCAUAAGGAGCACUAUCAUACCAUGGAAUAAAGAGCUAUUUGGAGCCAGCUCAUGGCCCCAAUAUAAAGAGAAAAACAGAGUCUGAUGACCAAACUUGGGAUCUGUCUGCAUUAUGCAUCAAAAGAAGGAAGAGAAACCAACAAAGAGAAAAGACAAAGGAGAAAAAACAAUAAAAGAUAUACAACCAUUUCGUGUAUUGUUAAAAUAUAUUCACAUAUAUUUGCACAACUUUGGUAGGCUUGUUCUUGACACUGCAAAAUCUUGCCUGACAUAAAGAUGAUACAAAUACAAGCUGGAGACCACCACUCACCUACUUGCCUCACCAAUUUUUUUUUUAAGCCACAAAUCCCAAUCUUAAUAAUUUUGUUCACAAUGAAUCUAACAGCCAACAUUAAUCCUUUUUUUGAAUUUAGAAAAGUCUAUUUAAUAGGUUUAUUUGUUCAAUCAGGUAUUGAAUACCUGUUAUGUAUCCAGAAUUAUCAUUGGCAAAGUGGAAGUAAAAAUCAGUCUCCCAUCAUAAGGAAAUUAAAACUGACCUGGACUGAAAAAAACUAUUCAGUAUAAAACAAUUAGAGUUCAAAAAGAGCUGACAUAUAUAAUUCAAACCAAAUAGCAUUUCAUACAGUGAGAACUCGCUGUUUACCAUUUAACACCUGUUAACAUUUGUUCUUUGGACACCUGUUGACAUUUGCUCUUUUUCUCCCCGAACUCUGAAGAUUGACAGAGGAACUAAAAUCCUACAAACGUGACCUUCCUAUUAAAAGCCCAAGUGCAAAUUUCUCUUAACCUUUCCUUCUUCUCUACUGUUCCACACAAUCUCAAUAAUCUUCAUGUCUAGUGUCUGGAAUAUGGCAAUCAUUCACAUGUUUGUUGAAAGAAUGAGUGAAUGAAUCAGAAACUAAGCCAAGUCCAGAACAGCCACAUCAAUGUCUGUAACACUCUCCUAGGUAAAUCACAAAACCUUUUAAGGGUCAAGGCUAGGUUCAAGGCAGUUACCUAAUAUGGCCUUUGGCCUGGCCUUGACC
rnacentral:lncRNA from 1 species